GAUCCUGGCUCAGAACGAACGCUGGCGGCAUGCCUAACACAUGCAAGUCGAACGAGACCUUCGGGUCUAGUGGCGCACGGGUGCGUAACGCGUGGGAAUCUGCCCUUGGGUACGGAACAACAGUUAGAAAUGACUGCUAAUACCGUAUAAUGACUUCGGUCCAAAGAUUUAUCGCCCAGGGAUGAGCCCGCGUCGGAUUAGCUAGUUGGUGAGGUAAAAGCUCACCAAGGCGACGAUCCGUAGCUGGUCUGAGAGGAUGAUCAGCCACACUGGGACUGAGACACGGCCCAGACUCCUACGGGAGGCAGCAGUGGGGAAUAUUGGACAAUGGGCGCAAGCCUGAUCCAGCAAUGCCGCGUGAGUGAUGAAGGCCUUAGGGUUGUAAAGCUCUUUUACCCGGGAUGAUAAUGACAGUACCGGGAGAAUAAGCCCCGGCUAACUCCGUGCCAGCAGCCGCGGUAAUACGGAGGGGGCUAGCGUUGUUCGGAAUUACUGGGCGUAAAGCGCACGUAGGCGGCUUUGCAAGUUAGAGGUGAAAGCCCGGGGCUCAACCCCGGAAUUGCCUUUAAAACUGCAUCGCUAGAAUUGUGGAGAGGUAAGUGGAAUUCCGAGUGUAGAGGUGAAAUUCGUAGAUAUUCGGAAGAACACCAGUGGCGAAGGCGACUUACUGGACACAUAUUGACGCUGA
rnacentral:rRNA from 1 species